rnacentral:misc_RNA from 1 species
AGAAGCCAAAAUUUCCUCUGGAGACUGAAUAUUCUCUUGCAAAUCAUCACUGUCGAAGCUGGAGCAUUCAGGCAAUGGCGCUACAGAGUUUCUACAGAGUGGGCAAGUGGAGUGGGACUGAAACCACAUAUCUAUACAAUCGACAUGGAAUCCAUGGUUGCAUUUAGGUAGCAACCUCGUUUUUUCUCCUUCUGCAACUUCAGAUAAGCAA